UGGGGAAUCUUGCACAAUGGGGGCAACCCUGAUGCAGCGACGCCGCGUGAGCGAUGAAGCCCUUCGGGGCGUAAAGCUCUUUCGACCGGAACGAUAAUGACGGUACCGGGAGAAGAAGCUGCGGCUAACUACGUGCCAGCAGCCGCGGUAAUACGUAGGCAGCAAGCGUUGUUCGGAAUUACUGGGCGUAAAGGGUGCGUAGGCGGCGCUCUAAGUUUGGUGUGAAAUCUCCCGGCUUAACUGGGAGGGUGCACUGAAAACUGGGGUGCUCGAGUAUGGGAGAGGAAAGCGGAAUUCCUGGUGUAGCGGUGAAAUGCGUAGAGAUCAGGAGGAACACCUGCGGUGCAGACGGCUUUCUGGACCAUCACUGACGCUGAGGCACGAAAGCGUGGGUAGCAAACA
rnacentral:rRNA from 1 species